GGCCUUGGAAUUUUAACAACUUAACUAAACGAACGAGCUCUGACUUGACUGUCUUUCUAACCAUGGGAGGUGUCUAGAGUGACAACUGCUCUGACACAGGAAGAAACCCUGGGAAUCACGUGCACUUCAGAGCUGGUGAAGAGAGACGUGAAGAAGAGCAAAGAAAAAGGUCUGCCAAGUCAUCGGGAGGCUUUGCUUCAGGCUAUGAGUCAGCCCAAGGCCACGCCUCUUAAGACAUCUGAUUAGAUCACUUCCACCGAUCACAUCACCUCUUCUGUCCAAAUCAAGACACAUGGCCAAGCCCAAGGGUCUUCCAGGAUACUUCUCAUCCCUUCCCUCGCUCCCUCACAGGGUCUUCCAGGAUACUUCUCAUCCCUUCCCGCGCUCCACCAAAGGAUGGGAAGAGACAAAGGCUGCUCUUUCUCUUGCAAGGCAGGUGCUCCUACCAGCCUGGGAAGGAGCUCCAGGGAUACAGUAAUUAACGUGUUUC